CACGUAGGGGGCAAGCGUUGUCCGGAUUUAUUGGGCGUAAAGAGCUCGUAGGCGGCUUGGUAAGUCGGGUGUGAAACCCCCGGCUCAACCCGGGGUCGCCACCCGAUACUGCUAUGGCUAGAGUCCGGUAGGGGAGCGUGGAAUUCCUGGUGCAGCGGUGAAAUGCGCAGAUAUCAGGAAGAACACCCGUGGCGAAGGCGGCUCUCUGGGACGGUACUGACGCUGAGACGCGAAAGCGUGGGGAGCGAACAGG
rnacentral:rRNA from 1 species